UUCAACAAGAGAAAACCAAAACGUGCAUACCAAAUUGGAGGUGACUCUCUUAUCACUAGUAUUUUCUGUAUCGUUAAUGAUUAAUGUAUCACACCUUUGGAAUAUGGAUACGUAUCGGUUAUCACAUGAGAUAUAUCGGUUGUAUCGUGUAAUUUAUUGUUGUAAACAUUAGGAAGUUGGUUAAAAAUUUCGGUGAAACUUUAGGGAUUAUUAAGAAAGACAUUAAUACACACUUUUAAAUCAUACCAUCUCAAAAAAGUGCACCUAAUAGAUUUCCUUUGUAUAGGGUGCUAAUCCAUGCAUUGUCUGACUAACUAAACUGAUGCAAGUAUAUUCAAAGUUAAUUAAUAUAAUUAAAAAAUUGUAAGAAGACAUGUAUGGAAACAUAACCAAUACAUUCAAAAGUAAAAGAAGUAGAAUUUUAGAAAUAUACCCGUGAAUGAGAGCUGCACAGUGGCUCAAAAUCAUCAUCUUUAUCUUGACGGGGCUAGGAAUAGUACUGUUGCUCCACAAAUUAACAAUAUUGUGUCUAGGUUAUAGUAGAAUGGUAUGAACAAAGAUACUUUCAGACAUAAUGCUGGUUCUCAUCCUCUUGGAUUUGAGCUAGUAUGCCCAUCCAUGGGUACUGCGUAACUAUCGUAGUCUGGCUGAUAUGGACUUGGGGUGGGUACAUAUGUGGCUCUUGACUAUCUACAUUGUUGCCCAUAUCCAUACUAUGGAUAUCCCUGCCCAUAUGGAAGUGAGCUCUUGACCGUAAUUGAAAAACAAUGCGCCAUAACUGUCGGAGUUGCUCACUGCACACUGAAAUUUUUUGAUUUUUCCCCAAUUUCUCCCAAAUUGGAUCACUUACCCCUAAAUCCCAAAACUAGAGUGUGUGUGAUGAUGAUUUCAUCAAACACUCCUAAAACUUUGAAAUUGGGUCCAAUUGACCGCUGAUAGAAGUAGAAUUUCGAAAAAAAUUAUUUGUAAAUAUUUUAAACUAAUUUUGAGUAAAAUAAUAAUUUUUUAACUAAAAAAAUUAAAUCCAAUUUUGAUCGAGGUCAAUUCCAAAGUCAAGGGCCUCAUAUCGGUUGGGCAGUCUAUGUAAAGGCAACUUUGGCUGCCCUAUACUUUUGAAUCUUUCCUUCUUCAGCUUUUGGAUUGUAUUCUUUUCUCGCACUUCGCAAGUUUUUUUUUU